rfam:Candidatus Roizmanbacteria bacterium RIFCSPLOWO2_01_FTLL_40_42 rifcsplowo2_01_scaffold_7971, whole genome shotgun sequence.
UCCCCUGUAGCUCAAUUGGCAGAGCAGGCCCCUGUUAAGGGCAAGGUUGGCGGUUCGAGUCCACCCGGGGGAG